rnacentral:rRNA from 1 species
GAUGAGCGCUGGCGGCGUGCCUAAUACAUGCAAGUCGAGCGAAUGGAUUAAGAGCUUGCUCUUAUGAAGUUAGCGGCGGACGGGUGAGUAACACGUGGGUAACCUGCCCAUAAGACUGGGAUAACUCCGGGAAACCGGGGCUAAUACCGAAUAACAUUUUGAACCGCAUGGUUCGAAAUUGAAAGGCGGCUUCGGCUGUCACUUAUGGAUGGACCCGCGUCGCAUUAGCUAGUUGGUGAGGUAACGGCUCACCAAGGCAACGAUGCGUAGCCGACCUGAGAGGGUGAUCGGCCACACUGGGACUGAGACACGGCCCAGACUCCUACGGGAGGCAGCAGUAGGGAAUCUUCCGCAAUGGACGAAAGUCUGACGGAGCAACGCCGCGUGAGUGAUGAAGGCUUUCGGGUCGUAAAACUCUGUUGUUAGGGAAGAACAAGUGCUAGUUGAAUAAGCUGGCACCUUGACGGUACCUAACCAGAAAACCACGGCUAACUACGUGCCAGCCGCCGCGGUAA